GGACAAUUUAUGCAUCAAUCCUGUCUGAACACUUGUGCUUUGCUUUGACAGGGCAAUGGGAAUGAUCUCAACGCCGAAGUUUCAAACCGGAGGACUGAGAGAAUUCAUUUCUUCUUUUGGACAAGUGACAAAGAGUUGCUUGGUGGCCACUUCACAUGAUGGACCCAAGGUCUGUUCACAUCUGACCUGUGUCAGGCUGGAGGUACAACAACUGUCAGCACAGGGACAGCUCAGAUGGAAGAACAUCAAAGCUCUGGCAAAGAUAAAUACAGUACCUGGGGCUGAGGAGGAGAUAACCCCCCAUUCCUGCCAAGAGUUACAAGAAAAAAACUGCUCACUAGGAAAUAAAGUUCCCUGAUGUUUAAGGAAGAUCAAAGAGUCUCCAAAUAUUAGCCAAGGUUAUCAGGUGGAACCGUGUGGCUCCUGCUGUCUAAGAGUUGAAGAAAAGAGAUUUUGCUCAAACCCAUUGCUUUUCCCCUUGUGUCUGCAGUUCCAAAUGAAAGACAUCACCUCUGUUUCCAGGCUUUGCUUCAUUAAAGCUGGAAACAGUUUUCCCGUUGGACAAGGUCAGAUUUUAAUGUUACAUCACACACGAAGCACUUAAUGGACACGUGAGUCAAAGAUACUCACAAAA